GAGUUUGAUCGUGGCUCAGAGUCAACGCUGGCGGCGUGCCUAACACAUGCAAGUCGAACGAGAAAGGGACUUCGGUCCUGAGUAUAGUGGCGCACGGGUGAGUAACACGUGAAUGAUCUACCUCCGAGUGGGGAAUAACUAAGAGAAAUCUUAGCUAAUACCGCAUAACACUUACGAGUCAAAGCAGCAAUGCGCUUGGAGAGGAGUUCGCGGCAGAUUAGUUAGUUGGCGGGGUAAUGGCCCACCAAGACGAUGAUCUGUAUCCGGCCUGAGAGGGCGCACGGACACACUGGAACUGAAACACGGUCCAGACUCCUACGGGAGGCAGCAGUGGGGAAUUUUGCGCAAUGGGGGAAACCCUGACGCAGCAACGCCGCGUGGAGGAUGAAGUAUCUUGGUACGUAAACUCCUUUCGAUGGGGAAGAUAAUGACGGUACCCAUAGAAGAAGCCCCGGCUAACUUCGUGCCAGCAGCCGCCGCGGUAAC
rnacentral:rRNA from 1 species